GACGAACGCUGGCGGCGUGCCUAAUACAUGCAAGUAGAACGCUGAAGGAGGGGCUUGCUUCUCUGGAUGAGUUGCGAACGGGUGAGUAACGCGUAGGUAACCUGCCUGGUAGCGGGGGAUAACUAUUGGAAACGAUAGCUAAUACCGCAUAAGAGUAGAUGUUGCAUGACAUUUGCUUAAAAGGUGCAAUUGCAUCACUACCAGAUGGACCUGCGUUGUAUUAGCUAGUUGGUGGGGUAACGGCUUACCAAGGCGACGAUACAUAGCCGACCUGAGAGGGUGAUCGGCCACACUGGGACUGAGACACGGCCCAGACUCCUACGGGAGGCAGCAGUAGGGAAUCUUCGGCAAUGGACGGAAGUCUGACCGAGCAACGCCGCGUGAGUGAAGAAGGUUUUCGGAUCGUAAAGCUCUGUUGUAAGAGAAGAACGAGUGUGAGAGUGGAAAGUUCACACUGUGACGGUAUCUUACCAGAAAGGGACGGCUAACUACGUG
rnacentral:rRNA from 1 species